GCGUCCUUAUCUUUGAGGAUGAAGAAAUGCCAUGAGGAAUCUGAAUAGCAGGCUUUACUAAGUUUCCACCAGUUUACUACAGUGGCUCUGCAGAGAAUCUAGGAAGGUAGAAGAAAAAUAGUUCUUUCGCCCCUUACGGUUUCUGGCAACUACAGAGAUUCAAUAAAAGACCAAGACACUCCAUUUACUCUAUAAACUGCAGUUGAGGUCUGAGGCAACUGACAAAAAUCUGACAGAAGGAUUCAUCAACUUGAAAGAUACAUUGAUGCUGAAGAAAGAACAGACCAGAGAUUUGGAAGGAAUUAACUAGAAAGGCCUA